AACGUAGGUGGCGAGCGUUAUCCGGAUUUACUGGGCGUAAAGUGUGUGCAGGCGGGGUGGCAAGGGGUGUAUGAAAUCUCCGGGCUAAACCUGGAGGGGUUAUGCCAGACUGUCAUUCUAGAGUGCGAGAGAGGGGCGUGGAAUUCCGGGUGUAGUGGUGAAAUGCGUAGAGAUCCGGAGGAACCCCAGAGGCGAAGGCGGCGCCCUGGCUCGCAACUGACGCUCAGACACGACAGCAUGGGGAGCAAACAGG
rnacentral:rRNA from 1 species